UACGUUCCCGGGCCUUGUACACACCGCCCGUCACACCACGAAAGCGAGCAACACCCGAAGUCGGUCGCCCUAACCCUUACGGGGAGGGAGCCGCCGAAGGUGGGCCGUGAUUGGGGUG
rnacentral:rRNA from 1 species